UACGUGAGGGGCUAGCGUUGUCCGGAUUUAUUGGGCGUAAAGAGCGUGUAGGCGGCCAGGUAGGUCUGCUGUGAAAACUCGAGGCUCAACCUCGAGACGUCGGCGGAAACCAUCUGGCUAGAGUCCGGAAGAGGAGAGUGGAAUUCCUGGUGUAGCGGUGAAAUGCGCAGAUAUCAGGAAGAACACCCGUGGCGAAGGCGGCUCUCUGGGACGGUACUGACGCUGAGACGCGAAAGCGUGGGGAGCGAACAGG
rnacentral:rRNA from 1 species